AAAUAAGAAGCAAUAGCAAUUUAAUUUCGACUUAAACCCAAGGUAACUGAGUUACCCUUAUUUA
rnacentral:tRNA from 1 species